AAAUCUGUGUGUCUUGCAGCCCGCAUCGCUACAAGCUGUCGGACCUGUGUGACUGGGUGUAUAACGUCACCCAUAGGAGUCGCGAGGACUGGGGCUACAGGCGUGUCAACAUCAGACCGUGGAGCCUUUAUUUUAAGACGAAGGUAUCGUUGGUUGAGAAGCUGCCGGGACGUCCUAAGCUUGGCUGGGACAAGCUGGAGAGGGAGUGUGUGACGGACGCGGUGACGUCGGCGCUCCCGACCGUCCUUUAUGACUCACUAUAGCCGCAUGCGUCUAUACCUGUGUAUGUAUUAUGUAUGUCUAUGUACAUAUGUACAUGUGUUUGCAGGAGUGUGUGACGGACGCGGUGACGUCAGCGCUCCCGACCGUCCUUUAUGACUCACUAUAGCCGCAUGCGUCUAUACCUGUGUAUGUAUUAUGUAUGUCUAUGUACA